GGGAGAAAGGAGAGGAAGGCUGGGAGAAAGGAGAAAAAGUUGGAGAAAGGAGAAAAAAUAAAAUAUCUCUCCUUUUAAAAAAUGAUCUAAUAUUUCAAGAAAAAAUAUCUCAAAAGGAGAUGUUUUAUUAAUGGAGAAAGGAGAACGGGGGUAGGAGAAAGGAGAAGAGGGUGGGAGAAGGGAGAAGGGUACCCCCCUGUCCUCCCCCUCAAUA
rnacentral:lncRNA from 1 species